CCUACGGGAGGCAGCAGUGGGGAAUUUUGGACAAUGGGCGAAAGCCUGAUCCAGCAAUGCCGCGUGUGGGAAGAAGGCCUUCGGGUUGUAAACCACUUUUGUACGGAACGAAACGGUUCGCUUUAAUACAGUGGGCUAAUGACGGUACCGUAAGAAUAAGUACCGGCUAACUACGUGCCAGCAGCCGCGGUAAUACGUAGGGUGCGAGCGUUAAUCGGAAUUACUGGGCGUAAAGCGUGCGCAGGCGGUCAUAUAAGACAGUUGUGAAAUCCCCGGGCUCAACCUGGGAAUUGCAUCUGUGACUGUAUAGCUAGAGUACGGUAGAGGGGGAUGGGAAUUCCGCGUGUAGCAGUGAAAUGCGUAGAUAUGCGGAGGAACACCGAUGGCGAAGGCAAUCCCCUGGACCUGUACUGACGCUCAUGCACGAAAGCGUGGGGAGCAAACAGGAUUAGAUACCCUGGUAGUCCACGCCCUAAACGAUGUCAACUGGUUGUUGGGUGCAUAGUACUCAGUAACGAAGCUAACGCGUGAAGUUGACCGCCUGGGAGUACGGCGCGAGGUUGAACUCAAAGGAAUUGAGGCGNGNGAGNGCGACGACGACGACGAGGAGGAGG
rnacentral:rRNA from 1 species